GGGUGUAUAGCUCAGUUGGUAGAGCAGCUGACUCUUAAUCAGCGGGUCGCAGGUUCGAAUCCUGCUACACCCACCA
rnacentral:tRNA from 1 species